rnacentral:rRNA from 1 species
CGAGCACGCGCGUGUGGCAUAUCAAUAAGCGGAGGAAAAGAAACUAACAAGGAUUCCCUUAGUAACGGCGAGUGAAGCGGGAAGAGCUCAAAUUUGAAAUCUUCAAGGUUCUACCUUGACGAAUUGUAGUUUAUAGAAGUGUUUUCUGUUAGUGGAGUGGCAAAAGUUCUUUGGAAUAGGACAUCAUAGAGGGUGAGAAUCCCGUAUUUGGUCAUUCCUCCUAGCGUUGUGAUACACUUUCAACGAGUCGGAUUGUUUGGGAAUGCAGUCCAAAAUGGGUGGUAAAUUUCAUCUAAAGCUAAAUAUUGGCGAGAGACCGAUAGCGAACAAGUACCGUGAGGGAAAGGAUGAAAAGAACUUUGAAAAGAGAGUUAAACAGUACGUGAAAUUGUCAAAAGGGAAGCGUUUGACACCAGUGUUGUUUUUCCGAAAAUCAAUUACGAAUGUUUUAUUUUUGAGGAGUUAUGACUUCAUCGGCUUGCUCCUUUCUUUAUGAAACUUUCUUAAUGCACUUUUCGGUUAACAAGUCAACAUCAAUUUCUUUUGUUGUAAAAGGGUAUGAGGAAGGUGGCUUUCUUUUCGGAGAAAGUGUUUAUAGCCUUGUGCCUCUGCAAUCGGAGAGAUUGAGGUCUGCAGCGUAGAUCCUUCGGGGUUAGAUACAUUUGUGCUAAGUUAUAGCUUUUCAUAGACAACUUGUUGACUAUGUUUAGUCCUUGUAGCUUACUCGCUUACGCUAUUUUACCUACGCUUAGGAUGUUGAUGUGAUACUGCGAGCA